AAGUCGUAACAAGGUUUCCGUAGGUGAACCUGCGGAAGGAUCAUUACAGAAUAAACUUGAUGGGUUGUAGCUGGCUCUUUCGGGAGCAUGUGCACGCCUGUCACUUUUGUCUUUCCACCUGUGCACUCUUUGUAGGCUUUGGAAUUUGAAAACUAUCUGAAAGCUUUAAACGGCCUUUGGUUUGAGGGAUUGUUGUGCCCUUUUUUGGGUCAGCUUCCCUUGCAGGUUCCAAGUCUAUGUUUUUUUAUAUACCCCCAUAGUAUGUUUUAGAAUGUUAUCAAAGGCCCUAAGUGCCUAUAAAAUUUAUACAACUUUCAGCAACGGAUCUCUUGGCUCUC
rnacentral:misc_RNA from 1 species